rnacentral:tRNA from 1 species
UCCUCGAUAGUAUAGUGGUCAGUAUCCCCGCCUGUCACGCGAGAGACCGGGGUUCAAUUCCCCGUUGGGGAG